rnacentral:lncRNA from 1 species
GCGGAUAACACAGCCGAUUUGACACGCAAUGUGCACAUGCAAAAUUGUAGCGUAAACAGUAAAAACAUAUACAUACACAGCGACAUAUACACAUCUAUGUAUAUAAAGGUGUAUAAAUCUUCACUCUUUUCCUCUCUUUAUACCCAACCCUAUCGCUCUCUCGUCUCUCUCUGUCGGUGUCUCCACACCAGCCGAAGGUUCCUUCUGAUCCAAACAUUUUUUCCUAUUUUCGCACGCAUAAAUUAUUUAGAAGGGUUUUAGGGUUUCAUAAGUUGGGGUGUCGAUGUUUUGUUCCGUUGUUCUAUGAUUGUUGGUGAGGAGCGGUGGCGGUGCGUCGUCUUUUGGGUUUUGCCUUGGAGAUUUAGAGAAGAGGGUUGUUAUAUGAGGGAUUGGCUUAACCUUAAUAAGAAUAAUUCGACGAGGUGGGACUGCUCAUUUGCGAUCCGAAGCCGUGGACGUUGGGGCAAAUGUGGUUGAGUUUUCUGGGAUAAUUUGUUCGAAUACACCGUGAAUUGGUUUACUUGUUGCACUAAUUAAAUUUAAGAUCUUCUGCAGUUUUUGGUUGAGGGGUUUUCGGAAAUUGAAUUUUCCGAACAAUGCAGCCGGAUCAUCGAAAGAAAGUGAGUUUUUUUUCUCAGUUUUAUAACUUUUCUGAAAAUUUUUAUUCAAUUUUGAGUAGAAUAGAAAAAAAUUGAGCUGUUAUUGAUGUAAUUUAUGGAUGCAAUUUGUGUGACUUCGUAACUGUUUGAUUAAAAUUCAAAGGAUGUGGCUUAUAUUCAUUCAUUUAUCUUAAGUCCAUUAAGGGUUUACAUUUCAAACGGAGGAAAGGAUUUCCUCUAAUCUCUGGCGUAUUUAAAGACUGAGCUGUUCUUGGUCUGAUUUGUAAAUUCAAUUAUGUAAGUUUGGCUGUUAAUUUAAUUGAUCGAUUGAAUAAAUUAAUAAUGAUUGAAUAUCGAUGUUGGAAUUAUGUUUGGACCAUUUGGUAUUUUUAGAUCUGGGUCAGUUACAUUUUGCACGCUGCCGUUAUCCAAGAAAUGAAUGCUUUUGAUUUUUCAACUCCUUAAUUAUCUUAAUCGAUGCCUUAUUAAUGAAAAUGAGAUCUUAUGUUUCUUUAUUGGCGUUUGAUUAUGUUACAUUUGAUUUAGUGGGAUUUAUCCUCUUUCCCGUUUUGCUUUCUUUUUUAAUACUUAAAGAAUUUACUUAGAUUAUUUCGUCCUUCCGUCUGAAAUUCAAUUGGUAUGUCCAUGAAAAGAAACAAUUCUUUUUGCUGUCAUUUCACUGCUGGUGUUAUAUGUUAUGAGGUUACCUUCCUUUCGUUAAAUCUGGAUUCAUUUUGAUCUUGACAUUUUUUAUCACUUUUGCAUUUCCAAUAUUAGCUCUGUAACUGAAAUUUUUACUUUUUGUUGCUUUUGAAAUAAUCAUUGUCUUUUCCAAAACAAAGAAAUUACCUUUUAAGGGAAAGAAAACAAAUUUAAGGACUUUAUGGUUUGAGCUGCAGUGGUAUAAACAAUUCUACCAAGUCCCAAGCGGAGUUGCAACUUUUCAGUGGCACGCGACCAAUGAUAAGAGUAACACAACACAUAAUUCCACACUUUAUUUCCUCAGUUGUCUUCGUGUUAUUGUUUUAGAAAUUUAUAGAGAUGGGGAAGAUGUUAUUGCAAGUGGAGGAUGGGGAAAAAAGAGAGGACGAACUGAUAAGUUAUGUUGUAGAGGAUAGGGACCAAUUUGACUAUGUAUUAUUUUCUAUUUUAUCUAUUUUAUGAUUGCUUUCAAAUUAGACUCUUAAUUUUCUACAAUUUUUUAAUAUUGAUUUAUAAGUUGUAUACUGUUUCUUUACUAACAUAAAUUUGUGUUUCUUUGUGUUGCUUUGAUUUUAUCAUUAGUUUGUAUUGAGGUUUACACCUCUCAUCAAUGAGGUAAAAUGCUUUGGUAUCCAGCUAAGCCUUUGUAAACAUUUAAUGGAUGAAGAGUCUGACAUUAUUUGUUUAUGAGACGUCAGUUAUCAGUGUUUGCAUAAAUACAAUUAAGAUAACUCACGCUGAUGAGGAUCUUGUCUUGUUUAAUAAUUGUUUUGUAACAUGAAAGACAGUUUAUUUCCCUUCCUAUUCUCAGGACUAAUUUUCUUUGUGUUUCAACAGAGAUCAACAGAGAUGGAGUUUUUCUCUGACUAUGGUGAUGCGAAUAGGUUCAAAAUUCAGGAGGUCAUAGGAAAAGGGAGCUAUGGUGUUGUUUGCUCUGCAAUAGACACUCAUACUCGUGAAAAAGUCGCAAUAAAGAAAAUACACGACAUUUUUGAACACAUUUCUGAUGCUGCUCGAAUUCUUCGUGAGAUAAAGCUUCUCAGGCUUUUGAGACACCCAGACAUUGUUGAAAUCAAACACAUCAUGCUUCCACCUUCAAGGAGAGAUUUUAAGGAUAUAUAUGUUGUUUUUGAGCUAAUGGAAUCAGAUCUUCACCAAGUCAUAAAGGCCAAUGAUGACUUGACUCGAGAACACUAUCAAUUUUUUCUGUACCAGUUGCUUCGUGCACUUAAAUACAUUCACACAGGUUAAAUCGCUUUCAUGUCUAUUUUCCCCAGUGUUAUCUUGUUUUUAGAAGAAGGAUAAUUGAUCAAUCCAUUAAUUUGCUAAUCAGUUUGUAUUCCUACAUCAAAAAACAUUUAUAUAAUUAGAGGAUUUAUAGUGUGACCUGCAGCUAUUUCCCUAAAACUUGAUAAUAAGAUAAAUUUUUGCCAGUUUGUUGCAUACGUUGUUCUUUCCUAUUUAUCAUUUUCAUCUNNNNNNNNNNNNNNNNNNNNNNNNNNNNNNNNNNNNNNNNNNNNNNNNNNNNNNNNNNNNNNNNNNNNNNNNNNNNNNNNNNNNNNNNNGGGGGGGGGGGGGGGGGGGCUGGUGAAUUGUGCUUUAUGAUUUGGUAAAUAUAACUAACCAUGAAGUUUUUGUCUGCAGCUAAUGUUUAUCAUCGAGAUCUAAAACCCAAAAAUAUUCUGGCAAAUGCGAAUUGUAAACUCAAAAUAUGUGAUUUUGGGUUGGCUAGAGUAGCUUUCAGUGACACGCCGACGACAAUAUUUUGGACGGUAUCUCAGACAUCUAAUUGUUUAUAUUUUAUUUUUUUCAUUCUUCAGUGCCAUUUAUCCAUUUCCUAAGAGUUGGGAGUUGAUUGUUUGUUGGAUGGUGGUAAAAAAUACAGGAUUAUGUUGCUACAAGAUGGUAUAGGGCUCCAGAGUUGUGUGGUUCAUUUUUCUCCAAGGUAUUAUGCUGCAUUUUUCUGUGCUUAUUUUUCAAGUAAUGCAUAUUUUUUAAUUUAUAUUGCUACUUUAUGCUAACUAGAAAAUAUAAAGAACGUAUGUUUUUUUCUUUUAGCUAUCUGUCACAAAUUUUCACUUCAUCAAGAUUUAAAUUUCAAUUUGGUCCUGUUUGACUCACAUUAUUUCAAAAAAUAUAUAUUUUUAAACAGUGAUUUGACAUCAUUUUAACCACACAUUUUUCAAUAAAAUAAUAUUACACAUAAAUCCAAAAUUUUUCCUUAUUUUUUAACCACACAUUUCUAUAUAUAUAUAGGCCAAAAACCAGAAAAUGGCUAGGACUUUUGGUCUAUAAUUCUGUAUAUAGUAGCUUGCUAGACUUGAAAGGAAGAGUCUCAUGCGCCAUUAAUCAAUAAAUCAAUCUAUUUUAAAGUGUCUCACUGAAGCACCUAUAGCAUAAACAAUAGUGGUCUAGUUGAGGGCAAGGAUGUGAUAAAAAUGUUAAAAAAGGAUUAUUUGCUGUAUUGUUUAAUACUCUAUCUUGUUAUGUUAUACAGAUGUCUGCACCUCUGAAUUAUGAUGUCAUGAUUGCUUCUUGGGUUAUUAUCUAUUAUAACUAAGUUUGUUACAGUUCCAUGAUUUAUAAUGAAUGGCUAGUCCGUAGUAUUAUAUCUAAUAUUUGUCUGAGCUCAAUCACAAAUGUCAAUGUUUAUUUUUUAUGGAAUCUGUGCAGUAUACCCCUGCAAUUGAUAUAUGGAGUAUAGGCUGCAUUUUUGCUGAGGUUUUGACUGGGAAGCCACUGUUUCCUGGAAAGAAUGUUGUUCACCAGCUAGAUUUGAUAACUGAUCUUCUUGGCACACCUUCCAUGGAUACCAUUUCACGAGUAUGAAUCACCUCCUUUAUUUAUUAAAUAAUUGUUAUUUUACAAGUUUACGCAUCAUUAAUAGAUAUAUGCACCUGCUCUCUGUAUUUAGUUCAAUAUGUUUUUGGUUUAGGUGCGAAAUGAAAAGGCUCGGAGAUAUCUAACCAGCAUGCGCAAGAAGCAGCCUGUGCUCUUUGCUCAGAAGUUUCCAAAUGCCGAUCCUUUGGCUCUCAGACUAUUAGAGAGGCUACUUGCUUUUGAUCCAAAGGACCGUCCAACUGCCGAAGAGGUUUUAUUUGCCCUAUUGUUUUAUAAAAAUAGCAAAACUUAUUUUGACGAUAUGACAUCUACAUUUGCCCUUUUUCUUUUUUCUUUUUUUUGUGCUUACUUUGUGAGGAUCUUCAAUGCGAAUAUUGCUUUCCUUCAUAAAAUUCUUAUUUGUCGAAAUAGGAGAUCCAUUUGAUUACACUGUCCCUAUUCCCUAUAGAUGUAUCACACUUUCUCUUGGGAAGUUAUGAUAUCUUUAUAUUGAUUUUGUGGAGCUUCUCUGUUUUUGUGUUUUGUCAGGCCUUGGCUGAUCCUUACUUUAAGGGAUUGUCCAGAAUCGAAAGGGAACCAUCUUGCCAGCCCAUUUCGAAGAUGGAAUUUGAAUUUGAGAGGCGAAGGGCUACAAAGGAGGACAUACGAGAAUUGAUAUUCUGUGAGAUAUUAGAGUACCAUCCUCAGCUGCGUAAAGACUACCUCAAUGGAAUUGAGAGAACCAAUUUUCUGUAUCCGAGGUAAUAACAUUUUUCUUGUUCUUUUUCGUUGCUUACUGUCUCUUCACUUGAGCACAUAAAUUUAUUGAUGAUUGUGGUGCUUUUCUCGUGUUCAGUGCCGUUGACCAAUUCAAAAAGCAGUUCGCUCACUUAGAAGAAAAUGGUGCAAAUGGACCUGUGAUUCCACUUGAGAGAAAGCAUGUUUCUCUUCCUCGGUAUGCAGAUAACAUAUUUUCUAGAUGUUGUGUAUUUUAUUGUCUGUUUCUUUUGAACCAUAGUUGUACGAAAUAGUGAGCUGCAUAAAAAUAAAAAUAAAAAAUAAAAAAAAUGGAAGAUGGAGAAAUAUUAAAAUAUAAAUAAUUGCUGUCUUCAUAUUAUUCAGCAUUCUUUGAACAUUGUUAAAGAUUCCUUUAUNNNNNNNNNNNNNNNCUGAAAAAUGUUAUAGUGAAAGUAGAGUUCUAUUGGGUGCUUAUGGAAGUGUCUCAUUUGGUGCACUAUAUGCAUUCUUUUAAUUUUAGUUGUUUAUACCGCGUUACUACGUGUCCUUCAUUGCACCAUUCAUGUUUGUCUCUCAUAUCUGAUAUAGCAGAGGAUAAUCUUUCUGCUCUAUGUGAUUCUAAUAAGUUUGAGUACUUAAUUUUAUGGUUUUCUGCAGGUCUACUAUUGUACAUUCAAAUUCAAUCCCUGCAAAAGAACAACCAACUGUUUCUAAUAUAAAGGACCGGCAGAAUGGUGACGAAGCAUGCAGUAGAAACUCCAGAGAUUCUGAUGGGCUUCAUAAUUGUCUAUCCCGAACCUUGCAACCACCGCAGAGGAUACCACAAGGUACUUUUACGUCAAAACUUGUUGAUCUCUUAUUGUUGCUUUCAUUUAAUUAUUAUGCAUUUUUCUGGUGAUUUUUUUCCUUCACUGUUUAAUUGUUUGAAACUACUAUUGCUCAGCCAAACCAGGACAUGGUGGUGGGCAAGUUUUACCAUAUGAGAGUGGAAAUGCCAUCAAAGAAACAUGUGAUCCACGAUCUUUAGUCAGAAACAGAGUCCUGUCUCCCCAGGUUAUUCCUUUGGCCUACUGUUACAAUAGAACUAGCACAGGAAAACAGGAAAGACCUGCACCGGAGACGGAGGGGGAGUUGUCUAAAACUUCUAAACAAAUACCUCAUUGUGGCAUGGCUGCCACCAAAUUAGCUCCAGAUAUAGCCAUUAACAUUGAUAGCAACCCAUUCUAUAUGACCCGAGCUGGAGUGACGAAGGUGAACCACCAUGUCGAGGACAGAAUCACCAUAGACCCAAAUCUGCUGCAAGGAAAAGCUCAAUAUGGUGGGCUUGGUGUUGCUGCUGCCACUGCUGCAAAUGUUGCUGCUCACAGAAAAGUAGGUACCAUUCAAUAUGGUAUGGCUACAACUAUGUAUUAAAGCAGGGACAAGUUUGUGAUGGCCUGAGGAUCGAGUCUUGUUUCAGGGGUAGGGGUGGGGUGCUGCUAUCUUCUUUAAACCAACUUUCUGUAGUUGAGAUUCUCGUUAAAAAUUUGUGUGGGAGCUAUACAGUUUCAAUCUCUUUGAGAUGAGAUCUUCACCUUACCACCACCAUUCUCCUCUCUCUCACAUAUUGUAAAUACUAAUGAACACAAACUCAGCUGGGUUCAAUUUGGUGCGUGGAAAUUCGCAAGUCAGGAUCUUGCUUUGAACUUUGGAUUAUGAUACAGAUUAUGGUCAUGGCGAGAAAUGUUCUCUCUGUUGUUAGAAUUUGAGUAGAAAUAUAUACGAAAGCUACCAUAGAUACAAGUUGUCACAAAGGUACUGUAUAUCCUCAUUUGUUGUCGCCUUUCUUUUUCAAAUCGUGUCUGCAAUAAAAUGGGCAGGAUAUAAGUUAGAAACUAGCUUUACAUUUUUACAUCAUCUUAUAUGAGAUGGAUCAAACCACAUUUUGAAAAUGUUCUAACAGACAAGAGACUGGCAUUAUUCAAUCCAGUUACUUCCAUUUUGUGAAACCUUAAUCCCACUUCAGUGGGCAACAUCCGGUGACCCAUUGCAGCCACAUAAUGAAUGGGUAUAUAAAAUUAUGGUGUUUUAUUC